CCUACGGGAGGCAGCAGUGAGGAAUAUUGGUCAAUGGGCGUAAGCCUGAACCAGCCAAGUCGCGUGAGGGAUGAAGGUUCUAUGGAUCGUAAACCUCUUUUAUAAGGGAAUAAAGUGUGGGACGUGUCCUAUUUUGUAUGUACCUUAUGAAUAAGGAUCGGCUAACUCCGUUCCAGCAGCCGCGGUACUACGGAGUAUCCGAGCGUUAUCCGGAUUUAUUGGGUUUAAAGGGUGCGUAGGCGGCCUUUUAAGUCAGCGGUGAAAGUCUGUGGCUCAACCAUAGAAUGGCCGUUGAAACUGGGGGGCUUGAGUAUGUAUGAGGAAGGCGGAAUGCGUGGUGUAGCGGUGAAAUGCUUAGAUAUCACGCAGAACCCCGAUUGCGAAGGCAGCCUGCCAAGCCAUGACUGAUGCUGAUGCACGAAAGCGUGGGGAUCAAACAGGAUUAGAUACCCCGGUAGUC
rnacentral:rRNA from 1 species